rnacentral:rRNA from 1 species
UACGGGGGGGGCAAGCGUUGUUCGGAAUCACUGGGCGUAAAGAGUGUGUAGGCGGUGCUCCCAGUCUGUUGUGAAAUCUCCCGGCUUAACUGGGAGGGUGCAGCGGAAACUAGAGUGCUAGAGGGUGGGAGAGGUAAGCGGAAUUCCUGGUGUAGCGGUGAAAUGCGUAGAUAUCAGGAGGAACACCUGUGGUGUAGACAGCUUACUGGACCACUUCUGACGCUGAGACACGAAAGCGUGGGUAGCAAACAGG